UCUACUCCCCUGACUGAUAAAGAGGACUGCAUAGAACGAGUCAGAAAUGCGUUCAGAUCUCUUCCUCCCGAUGAAAUAAGAAGAGCAACGCACGAAGCAUUCCUGAGACGUAUAAAUAAAUGUCUAGAAAUUAACGGUCAAAACUUUGAGCAUCUUCUCUGGUUAAAACUGCGAGAGUUUGCCAUGGUUCUCCUAAUAGUAACUUGAAGUCGGUUUCAA